CUUGAGCAGCAUAGGUGAGUGGAUCCUGCUGGAGUCAUGGCGCGUGAGCCAGGCCACGGAGGGGCGCUGAGGGUCACCCUUCAGGCCACGAGAGUUUCUUCAGGGAUCCGAACCUAAAUCCCCACCAGGGACGGAUAGUUUCUCCAGGAGAGCAGCUUCCUUGGAAAUCAAUCCCAAGAAGGAUGCCUUCCCUGAAGCCCUGCAGGGGUAAUGGAGGUCUAGGCAGGAGAUGGUUCCUUCAACCCAACACAGUGCAGAUCCUAGCUGAGACUUGGUGCACAGGUCAGGCCUGGAGCACUGCCCAGGCCACAUGAGGGGGUCUGCUGGGUCUCCAGGGGCCAUGAGUCUUAUAUGCGAGCUCUUCUUCCCUGAGGCUUGCAGAGGGGUUGGGUGUGGGUGAUCGGGCUUACGGAGUGGGCUGUGAAGAAUCAAGGGUUGGGCCACACCCAUGGCCCUGAAUGGGGCAGACUCUGUUGAGCAAUGGCCAUCCCAGUGGUGCUUACUUGAGCCUGGUGGGGGUGGUGCUGCCUCAGUGGGGUUGGGUCAAGGUUGAGCUCUGGCUGGCACCUGGUGUUUGGUCCUGGGCAUCGUGGGCUUUGGGCCAAGGGUGCAGCCUGUGUCCCGCUGGAGGUCACCCCUCCCCAAAGUGGAGUGGCUGGAAGGGUGGCAUCCUGUGGUGGAAGGCCCACUGUCAAGGGACCUGUGCUGGCAAUUUGCUGUCCAGGCUGCUUCUGAGACAUGGGGUCACCUCCAGGGUGGCAGGGUCUUGAGCCAAAAGAAAGGAGAAGAUAUCAUGUGUCCCCUGAUUGGCCGAGUGUGGCCUGGCUCUGUGUUUGGGAGGUGCAUGAUGCAUGAAUGGGGACCCACUAGAGAAUGCACAUGGCCCUGGGGCCCCAGGAUGCGAUUUCUGGUGUAGGCUUGUAGAGGGCACCUGGACAGGUGCAUUCCACACCCAGGGGCAGGCUGUGUGCCUGCCAGUUCUGCAGCUGCACAUGGCGUCCAGGCCAGCCUCCUCAAUUUGCCGUGAGCUGGUUGGUGGCCCUGGCCCUGCCCAGUGCUCCCAGUGUGGCCCAGAGUCAUGUGCGGGAGUUGGCGUGGGAAGUGGAGGUGCCCAGGGUCAUUCAGUAGGGUGCAGCCUGGACAUCUUGCUGGAAUCCCAUGACCCGCCUACCCUUUCCUUCCAGGGUUGAGUGGCAGGGAGGGCCAGGGGUUCCUUGUGUGCAUAACCGUCACUGUUUUACAUGAAUUCCAUGUAUUGAGUCCAUGGAGGGAGAGCAUCUGUGAGCCAGCACACCCUGCGCACUUUCUUGCAUGGAGGCAUGAGGCCGUGUUUGGACACCUGUCCCCCACCCCUCCAGAUGCUGACCCAGGAAGAAGAAUUGCAUUGGGCCCACUUGGCCCUGGGCCAUUGUCCCUCAGCCAGGUGCUCAACCCCUGGUGAGCUGAAGCUCAGGUCCUUCCUGGUGCCCUGGUCUCCUAAACAGAGCUGUGGAUUACGCUGAGGCCCAGCCUAGGUGAGAAUUUUGGAAGAGGAUGCUGGGAUUUUAAGGUCCGUGGCAGGGCCACUGUGUUUUGGACUGGAGACCUCCAGGCCCUGAACAGCAUCUCGCGGCAGGCAGGGGGACUCUACCCUGUCUCUGCAUUUCUAGUGAGCUCUUCAGCCCAGGUGGUCCCCCUGACAUUGAUGUGCAUAGAUGAGUGCAUUUUGCUGGUGUUAUGGGCCAUGAGUCAGGCCGCAUGGUGUCACUGAGGGUCAGCCCUCGGGAAAGAAGGGUUUCUUCAGGGAGCCGACCUGAAUCCCCACUGAGGAGGGAUGGUUUCUCCAGGAGUCUGGCUUCCUUGGGAAUCAGACCCAAGAUGGUGCCUUCCCUGAAGCCCUGCAGGGGUGACAGUGGUCCAGGCAGGAAAGGGUCCCCUCAGUCCCAUGUAGGGCAGCUCCCAGCUGAGACUCAGUGUUUGGGUCUGGCCUCAAGGACGGCCCAGGCCACAUGAGGGGGGUCACAGGGGCUCUGGGGUGCCACAGGGGUCACAUGAGAGCUCUCUUUCCCUGGAGAGGGGUGCUUGAAUGGGCCCAUGUGGUCAGGCCACAGAGAUUUCAAGGAUCACACCCCAACCAUGGCCUUAAAUGGGACCGACCCUGUUGAGUAAUGGGCCAUCUCAAUGGUUCCUCUUUGAGCUUGGUGGGGGGCAGUGCUGUUUCCCUGGGUUUGGGUCAAGACUGAGCUCUGGCCAGCACCUGGUGAUGCCGCAGGCCGGCCCUUGAACUUGUGGGCUUCGGUCCAAGUCGGCAGCCCACGUCUUACUGGAGGUUACCCUUUGCGUGUUGGUGAGUGGCUGGAAGAGUGGAUCCUGAGGUGGGAAGACCCGCUGUCGAUGGUCCUGUCCCGGGAAUUUGCCACCCAGGCCUUUUCUGAGCCAUGGGGUCACCUCCAGCGUGGCAGAGUCUUGGGCCUAAGGAAAGAGAGGACACAAUGUGGCCCAGGUUUGGCCAAGGGUGGCCUAACUCUGUUUUGAGGACCUGUGCGGGACAUGGAUGGGGACCCACCAGAGAAAGCUUGUGGCCCUGGGACUCCAGGCUUUGAUUUCAAGUGUGACUUGCAAAGGGAGCCUGGGCAGAUGCCCACCAUGCCAGGGGCAGGCUUUGCAACUUCCUUGUCUACAGUGGCACAUGGCUUCUGGGCCAGCCUCCUAGAUUGGCCAUGAGCUGGUUGGUAACCCUGGUCCAUGCCCCAUAGUCCCAGGGUGGCUCUGGGAUCGUGCGGGACAGCCAGCAUGGGCAGUGGAGAUGCUAUCAAGGCCUGCAGUAGGGCAUAGUCAGGACAUCUCACCUGAGCCCAGUGACCCACGUAACCUGUUUUUUCAGGGUUUGGUGAUGGGGAGGGUCAAGGGUGCCCCACAUCCGUAAUAGGUCUGUGUUCCUCAUGGAUCCCAUCACAUGGGUAUCCCUCACCCCUACCCUGCAUGGAGGCGUGAGGCCCUGUUUGGACACAUGUCCUCCUCCUGUCCCCCCAGAUGGUGAGCCUGGAGGAAGACUUGUGUUGGGCUCAAUGUUCAGGCCAGUGGCCCAAAGCCAGGUGCCCGGCCCCUGGUGUGCUGAAGCUAGGGACCUUCCUAGUGACCUGGUCUCCUGCACUGACCUGUGAUGUGUACAUCUGGGUCCUGCUGGAUGCCUGCACAGGAAUUGGGGUGCCCUGGGUUGGGUCGAUGAUGAGAACCUUAUAUUGUCCUGAAGAGGGGUGAUGACUUAAAAAUCGUGCUCAAUAGGAUUACGCUGAAGCCCAGCCUAGGUGAGAAUUUUGGAAGAUGGUGGAAUCCCGAAGUCCCCGGCAGGGCCCCUGUAUUUUGGGCUGGAGACCUGGAGGGCCUAAAGGGCAUCUGGGGGGCCCAACCCUGUCUCUGCACUCUUCCGUAAGGCAGCCCAGGCUCCCCAUGCGGACUUGCUGUUGGUGGUCCAGUUCCUCGGGUGGGGCAUGAGGGCAGCUCCUCCCUGAGCCCCCCUUCUCCACUUGUGUCUUUCAGUGAGCUCUUCCACCCAGGCAGGGCACCCUGGCAUUGAGUGGCAUAGGUGAGUGGAUCCUACUGGCCUCAUGGGCCAUGGGCUAGGUUGUGUGGAGUCACUGAGCAUCAGCCUUCAGGACAGGAGGGUUUCCUCAGGGAGCACACUUGAAUGCCCACCAGGGAUGGAAGGGUUGAUUCUCAAGGAGAGCGGCUUCCUUGGAAAUUGGACCCAAGGAGGAUGCCUUCCCUGUCCUUUCAAGGACUGGUGGCUGAGAGAGCACAGGGUGCCGUGCGUCUGCGACAGGCCAGUGUUCCACAUGGAUCCCAUCACAUGAGUCCAUGGAGGGCGAGCAUCCCUGAGCCGCCACACCCCACCUUCUGCCUCCAUGGAGGGGUGAGGUUGUGUUUGGAUGCCUGUCCUACUCCUGUUUCCCCAGAUGUUGAGCCUUGAGGAAGACUUGCAUUGGACCCAUUGGCCCCAGGCCAGCAUCUGUCAGCCAGAGGCCCAUCCCCUGGUGCACUGAAGAUGGGGCCCUUCCUGGUGCCCUCGUCUCCUGCAUUGAGCUGUGUGAGCUCUUCUGCCAAGCAGCCUCCCUGGCAGUGACCAGCAUAGAUGCUGACCCUGGAGGAAGAAUUGCACUGGGCCCACUGGCCCCGGGAAAAUGUCCCUCAGCCAGGUGCUUAGCCCCUGGUAAGCUGAAGCUCAGGCCCUUCCUGGUGCCCUGGCCUCCUGCACUGAGCUGUGUGAGCUCUUCAGCCCAGGUGGGCUCCCUGACAUUGAUGCGCAUAGAUGGUUAGCCUGGAGGAAGACUUGCGCUGGGCCCAAUGGACCCAGGCCAGUGGCCAUCAGCCAGGUGCCCACCCUGGUGUGCUAAAGCUCGGGACCUACCUGUUGUCCUGGUUUCCUACACUGAGCUGAGUGAGCUCUUCAACCCAGGCGGGGCACCCUGGCAUUCACCAGCAUAGUGAGCUCUUUCGCCCAGCAGACUCCCUGGCAUUGAUCGGCAUAGAUGGCAGCCCUGUAGGAGGACUUGUAUUGGGGCCGCUGGCCCCACAUCAGUGUCCGUCAUCCCAGCGUCCAGCCCCUGGUGUGCUGAAGCUCAGGCCCUUCCUGGUGCCCUAGUCUCCUGCACUGAGCUUGUGAGCUCUUCUGCUCAGUCGGGUCCCCUGGCAUUGACCAGCAUAGAUGGUGGCCCUGGAGGAGGACUUGUACUGGGGCCACUGGCCCCACAUCAGUGUUCAUCAGCCCGGCGUCCAGCACCUGGUAUGCUGAAGCUCAGGCCCUUCCUGUUGCCCUAGUCUCCUGCACUGAACUUGUGAGCUCUUCUGCCCAGGUGGUCCCCCUGGUCUUGAUGGGCAUAGGGUGAGGCCCUGUUUGGACCCAUCCUCCAGCUAUCUCACCAGAUGGUGAGCCCAGAGGAAGACCCCGUGGCUCUGGGCCAGUGUGCGUCAGCCAGGUCCCCAGCCCCCAGUGUGCUGAAGCUCAGGCCCUUCCCAACGCCCUGGUCUCCUGCACUGAGCUGUGUGAGCUCUUCUGCCCAGCUGGGCCCUCUGACAUUGACCGGCCUAGAUGGUGAGCUCGGAGGAAGACUUGCAUUGGGCCCAAUGGAGCUGGGCCAGUGUCCGUCAGCCAGGUCCCCAGCUCCUGAUGCGCUGAAGCUCAGGCCCUUCCUGGAGCCCUGGUCUCCUUCCCUGAGCAGUGAUGGUGAGCCUGGAGGAAGACUUGCACUGGGCCUUCUGUGCGCUGGCCAGAGGCCAUCAACCAGGUGCCCAGGUCCUGUUGUACUGAAGCUUGGGCCCUUCCUGGCGCCCUGGUCUCCUUCAUUGAGCUGAUGGUGAGCCUGAAGGAAGACUUGCAUCAGGACCAAUGGACCCUGGCAAGUGUCCGUCAGCCAGUUGCUCAGUCCCUGGUGCACUGAAGCUCAGGCCCUUCCUGGCCCCUUGAUCUCCUGCACUGAGCUGUGUAAGCUCUUCUGCCAAGGGGAGGCCUCCUGGCAUUGACCAACAUAGAUGGUGAGCCUGGAGGAAGAUUUGCGUUGGGCCCAAUGGCCCUG